rnacentral:rRNA from 1 species
UCAAGUUAUUAAGGGUGCAGGGCGGAUGCCUUGGCACUAGGAGCCGAUGAAGGACGUGAUAAGCUGCGAUAAGCUUCGGGGAGUUGCACGUAAACUUUGAUCCGAAGAUUUCCGAAUGAGGAAACUCACUUAGAGUAAUGUCUAAGUAUCAUUAAGUGAAUACAUAGCUUAAUGAGGGGAACUCAGGGAACUGAAACAUCUAAGUACCUGAAGGAAGAGAAAGAAAUUCGAUUCCGUAAGUAGCGGCGAGCGAACGCGGAUUAGCCCAAACCAAUAAAGUUUUCUUUAUUGGGGUUGCGGACAUAUCAUAACGAAGAGGUAUCGUAAUUGAAGAGGUUUGGAAAGACCCACCACAGAAGGUAAUAGUCCUGUAUGUUAAACGAGAAGACUUUAGAUAUGAUCCAGAGUACCACGGGACACGUGAAACCCUGUGGGAAGCAGGAGGGACCACCCUCCAAGGCUAAAUACUACCUAGUGACCGAUAGCGUAUAGUACCGUGAGGGAAAGGUGAAAAGAACCCCGGAGGGGAGUGAAAUAGAACCUGAAACCCUGCACUUACAAGCUGUGGAAGCACAUUUCUUGUGUGACCGCGUACUUUUUGUAGAACGGGCCAACGAGUUACGUUAAGUAGCAAGGUUAAGCACUUAAGGUGCGGAGCCGUAGCGAAAGCGAGUUUUAACUGAGCGUUCAGUUACUUGACGUAGACCCGAAACCGGGCGACCUACCCAUGAGCAGGAUGAAGCGAAAGUAAAAUUUCGUGGAGGUCCGAACCCACGAGCGUUGAAAAGCUCGGGGAUGACUUGUGGGUAGCGGUGAAAUUCCAAUCGAGCCGGAGAUAGCUGGUUCUCCCCGAAAUAGCUUUAGGGCUAGCCUCAAGGUGAGAGAUACGGAGGUAGAGCACUGAAUGUCCUAGGGGGUAUUGCACCUACCGAAGACUAUCAAACUCCGAAUGCCGUCAUCUUAUACUUGGGAGUCAGACUGUGGGUGAUAAGAUUCAUAGUCGAAAGGGCAACAGCCCAGAUCGUCAGCUAAGGUCCCUAAAUGUAAGUUAAGUGGUAAAGGAUGUGGGAUUGCACAGACAACCAGGAUGUUGGCUUAGAAGCAGCCACUCAUUCAAAGAGUGCGUAAUAGCUCACUGGUCGAGUGAUCCUGCGCCGAAGAUUUCCGGGGCUAAAACUUACUACCGAAGCUACGGCAUCAGUAAUGAUGGGUAGGGGAGCUUCCCAUACGGGUUGAAGCAUGACCGUAAGGACAUGUGGACAGUAUGGGAGUGAGAAUGUUGGCAUGAGUAGCGAGAUGUGGGUGAGAAUCCCACAGGCCGUAAACCCAAGGUUUCCAGGGGAAGGUUCGUCCGCCUGGGUUAGUCGGGACCUAAGCUGAGGCCGAAAGGCGUAGGUGAUGGACAACAGGUUGAUAUUCCUGUACUACCGAUAACCGUUUGAGAGAAGGGAUGACACAGUAGGAUAAGCUAAGCACACUGUUGGUUAUGUGUGCCCAAGCAUUGAGGCAGUCAAAGUAGGCAAAUCCGCUUUGAUAAUGCUGGGAUGUGAUGGGGAGCGAAAUUUAGUAGCGAAGUAGCUGAUUUCACACUGUCAAGAAAAGUCUCUAUCGAGGUUAAAGGUACCCGUACCGCAAACCGACACAGGUGGGUGAGGAGAGUAUCCUAAGGCCAGCGAGAGAACUGUUGUUAAGGAACUCGGCAAAAUGACCCCGUAACUUAGGGAUAAGGGGUGCCACCAUCAGGUGGCCGCAGAGAAUAGGCCCAAGCGACUGUUUACCAAAAACAUAGGUUUCUGCUAAGUCGCAAGACGAUGUAUAGGAGCUGACGCCUGCCCGGUGCUGGAAGGUUAAGGGGAUCUGUUAGAGUAAUCGAAGCAGUGAACUUAAGCCCCAGUAAACGGCGGCCGUAACUAUAACGGUCCUAAGGUAGCGAAAUUCCUUGUCGGGUAAGUUCCGACCCGCACGAAAGGCGUAACGAUUUGGCACUGUCUCAACAACAGACUCGGUGAAAUUGUAAAUUCCGGUGAAGAUGCCGGAUACCUGCGACAGGAC